ACGCUCACGAGGAAAUAAACAAGCCAGCAAGCUCCUUGGAGAGCCUUCGCCAGUUGCAGAACAAAUCAACCAAGCUGGAAAGAUAUUAAAAUGCCUCUGUGUCUGUCUAAAACUGAAUGUUGUUUGUCUGUUGGCAUUGAAUGUUUGCCAUAUAAGUGUUCAUUGUGAUCCGCCCUGAGUCCCCUUCGGGGUGAGAAAGAAGGGCGGGAUAUAAAUACUGUAAAUAAAUAAAUAAAUAAUAAACCAAGGCUUGCAAACUGGAAAUCUGCAACUGGUGUUUUUCUCUUUUCUGGAGCCGAGCCCUCCAAGACAUAAGAGUGACUGCAGUUAUAUUGCGAAAGUAUCGUCGUUCUUUCUGCGUUGCCAUCGCAGUUUUGCCUAAUUGCACCCUAGCAGUCACGAAAGAGAAGCUCAUUGCCUGCAGGUAAUUAUUUACAGACUCUGAGGUGGAAAAAGCCAGGCCGUGCCUUACGACGGCAUCAGCAGGGCAGGCGAAGGACACCUUGGGCUUGACUUUCCUCUUUGUCGGGGAAUUGUGCGCCAGUCGGCCGGCCGGAAACUCACCUGCUUGAAUCGAGACGAUGCGGGUGAGUUUGCAAGAAAACAUCAAUCCUUUCCAAACAAACACAAUGCGGAUGGCCAAAUCCCCUUGACGUCGCCGACUCCCAGCCAGUUUCCACUGUUUGAAAGGAUUUCUUUCCAGAGGAGUCACAAUGAGACUUUGUUUAUCCAAGGCCCGUUUCUCUGAAUGCAUAGAUCAGCAUCAAUUAAGUCAGAUUAUGAAAACACAAUGGCCCGUACAUGCGUGAUGGAAACUCCCUCUCCAGCACAGCGAACAACCAGAGCCCUUAGGGUCGCAUGGAGGACGUCCAAGCCCUGUCAUUUCCAACUAUAAUCGGAUUAGACACCCAAGGAACACAACCUAUAUUUAGGCGAUGCAGAUCUUGGCACAAGGGACGCGCUGUUGUGGUCUCGCAAGUCACUCCAAAGGCUGGCACUGGAUCUCUCGCAUGUUUUGAACAGACUGAGGCACGGGUUUCGCUUUCAUCGCUACAGCUCCCAGGGCACAUCCACACUGUAGAAUAGAUGCAGAUUGACACCACUUGAACUGCCAUGGCUUGGUGCUAUGGGUUCAUCGGAGUUGUGGGUUUACAAGCUCUUCAGUGCCGGUGCCUCGCCAAAUGGCAACACAGCAUUGAACGGUGGCAGCUAAAGCAAGGCCAAACCGCAUUCGUUCUGCCAUGUAGAUGCACAGGUGGAAGGUCCUGGGAAUCACAGCCCAAAACAAUACCCGUCCAAGCCCUGGCUGUACAAACCUUGCCUGGGUCAGGCCGGCGGUCAACAAUCUUGGUUUGCUUUCCGCUUCUCCAUGUGGGUGGAGAUCCCUCUCGCGAUUCCGCCCAGGUGUAUUGACUUUCCCCGGCCGACUCUAUCAGACAGCCAGGUAGGCUCCUUCAGUGGGACGAAGGCGGCGGCAGCAGAAGCAAGCGAAGGCCGGCGACUCGGAGGGAUCUGCAACAGAAUGAGACUCAAAGCGCCUCACUGCUAAAAGCAUUUACACACACAUAUUAUUGGACAACAUCUCCCAGCAUUUCUCACCAAUGUGGUUAAGGUGGCUGGGAGCUGCAGUCUGAUAACAUCUGGAGCGCUGCUCCAUCCCUCCCAUUGGUUGAUGCUGCGUAAUGCAGGUUCGAAGCUAUUCAAACUCAUCUCACGAAGCAGGAAAUGCUCAACGCUCUUCCAAGAGGAAUCGGUUGGCUGUUCUUCAAAACAGACUCAAAAGGCAUUGACUUUGAUGUGUUCGGAGGAAGAAAGGAAGCCUCCUCCUCCUCCGGACACGAGUCCAAUUCCAUAUGAAAGGGGCUCCUUCCAUCUGAUGACAGAAGAUUGGAGAUGGAGAAGAGGAAACCCUCCCUCGCACCGCAUAUAGAUAAUUCACAUCUGGAAUUUAUUGCCGCGAAUGUUUCAUUUAUCCAGCUACCUCUGAUGCUUUCUGACAGCCGAAUAAUCAAAAUUCUCUGGAUGGCAAAUUGCACGCCUGGAAGCAAUCAUCGGGAUCAAGUCGAACCCAUACGUUUAAUCUCUUACAUUAAACCCAUCAACUGCCUUCCUUAUUUAAAAACAAAAAAAAUAAUGGUUUCUUGUAUUCUCAUUAAUUGAUUGCAAAUGUAAAAGUAAACUACAUAAAAACAAACGAAAGGGAAAAUCACAAAGUGCCGUUAUGUGUGAAUUAAAAGCGCAAAUUACGCUUCACACUUUCAAUAUACAAUUAAUGCCGCAAAUUAACUGUGUUUGUUUUUGGCUGAUUGGAAGCGUCAGGAUCAUCAAUUAAAACAAUAAUAGUAAUUCAUGAGUCUGGGAUGGGACCAGAAGCCAUGGCCUCAAAGCCGAACACAGACACGCUCUGGACUUUGGCUGCAUCUACACUGUCUUUUGAGAAACAUGUGUGGCAAGUUUGGUCCAGAUCCGAAGUCGGCUGGGUUCAGUGCUGUCUGUUUAAGGGUGAACUACAACUCCCAGAGGAAAAGGUGAGUGAAGCUACUUGGUCCAUCCUCCCCCAAUCUACCCCCUGACGGAAAGGGGUUCAUGGGGAUUCUGUGGGCCAAAUUUGGUCCAGUUCCGUCACUGCUGGGCGUCGCAGUGGCCUGUGGGAGUCGUAGCGAUUGAAAGUACUACAAAUCCCAUCAGCAAUGGGCCAUCGUCCCGCCAACAGCACCAGGCCGUAAAGUGCAUCAUGGGGGUUAAGCGUGCCAAGUUUGGUCCAUGUCAGUGAUUCCUGGCGGUCACAGUGGCCUGUGAAAGUGGCGGCCAAUCAGAAAGCUGGCACAUACAAACAUUCACUUCUAUAUAUAGAUGAAUGAACAAUACGAUAUUUAAAAAUUAAAAAAAACAAUUUUAACCAAUAUAAACCUAUCAGGAUUUCAAUGGGAAGUGUGGGCCU